GGGCAGGUGGCUCAGUGGUAAAGCGCUUGCCUAGCAUGCAUGAAGCCCUGGGUUCCAUUCCUCAGUUUCCACA
rnacentral:tRNA from 1 species